rnacentral:rRNA from 1 species
UACGGGGGGUGCGAGCGUUAAUCGGAAUUACUGGGCGUAAAGGGCACGCAGGCGGUCUUUUAAGUGAGGUGUGAAAUCCCCGAGCUUAACCUGGGAAUUGCAUUUGAUACUGGUAGUCUAGAGUACUGUAGGGGGGGGUAGAAUUCCACGUGUAGCGGUGAAAUGCGUAGAGAUGUGGAGGAAUACCGGUGGCGAAGGCGGCCCCUUGGGAAUAGACUGACGCUCAGGUGCGAAAGCGUGGGGAGCAAACAGG